GUGAAUUAAACCUGAAUUUGAGCCCGUGCUGGAGUUUCAUUUAUGGUUUAUGGUUAUGUUUAACCCCGUAAGGACCAAACUUCUGGAAUAAAAGGGAAUCAUGACACGUCACACAUGUCUUGUGUCCUUAAGGGGUUAAAACAAUCUUAUGUGUAAUUUAUAUUGGCUGGUAAAUUGUAUAUGACAUGUGAAGACAGUUUUGCUGUUGACCAGUAGGGGUCAUAAAUGCUGAUUGUAUGGUAAAAAUACCCUUUAACCCCUUAAGGACCAAACUUCUGGAAUAAAAGGGAAUCAUGACAUGACACAUGUCAUGUGUCCCUAAGGGUUAAUCCUACCGUAUGACAGAUAGGAGUCAGUAUAAAAGCGAAAAUGCUGUAGUUAGUUUGUUUGCUUAUGAAGUGAAAUAAAGUCUGAGAAGACUGUAGUAUACCGAUUGACCGGUAGGGGUCAGCAUGUAGGCGAAAAUGCCGUGGUUCGUUAGUUUGUACAUGAAAUGCAAUAAUGUCUGAGAAGCCUGUAGUACACUGAAUGACCGGUAGGUGUAAGUGUGUAGAUAAAAAUGCAGUGGUUUAUUGUUUUGUACACGAAAAGCAAUAAUGUCUAAGAAGCCUGUAGUACACCGAAUGACUGAUAGGUGUCAGUGUGUAGGUGAAAAAUGCGGUGGUUCGUUGGUUUGUACAUGAAAUGCAAUAAUGUCUGAGAAGCCUGUAGUACACCGAAUGACCGGUAGGGGUCAGUGUGUAG
rnacentral:lncRNA from 1 species